UACCCGUAGUGGAUAGUUGUGUACACCUUAAAUGGAACAGGCGAAAAUUGUGUCACUUUUUCCGACCGGCGCACGUGUUGUUUUUCGUUUUUACACAAUUGCAUUAUCUAUAUGUGACUUUCGUGACAAUAAUACUGUGUAUCAUUUCAUAAGUACUUCACUGGGUAUAUUGCCGGUGUACGAAUCAGAUUAGCGGGAUGGUUCGACUGC